rnacentral:lncRNA from 1 species
AGAGGCCCGGAGGCCACUCUUCAUUAGGAAAGUUCUGGCUACUGUCACCAGAGUAACCCAGAAGCUUUGCUUUUGCGUCUUGACUGAGCUAGAUGUAGCUGAAGAGAAAAAUGUUGAGAGGAAAACUGACUAGAAGCCAGAGAUGACAUUCCCUGAAGCCCAGAAGGCUGUGACCACAGCCACCAAAGACCAGUUCUCUAAACCGUCUGAAUUAAAGGAGCCUCUUGGCCCACAUUCUGUAAGGGGCUCAGGGCCAAUGCUCUCUCAUUGGUAAGCUAUGGGAAGUUACUAAUCAGGCCAGUCUGAAGAUGGGGACUUCAGUGGGAGGGGAGGUUGGGGUGGGGGAUUGAUUUAGUUAUACUUCUGAUGAGUAGAUGCAAUCCUGAAGGAAUACUAGGUUGACAGCUCUGGCUCCUGGUAAAGGAUAGAAACAGCUAAUUCUGGUGAUCAGACGAGGCUGCCAGUUAAAGCCAAAACAGCAGCUUGGAUCCUUGUGAGCAGUAUGUCUACACUAGAUUGUACAACUAUCUUGAUGCCGGUAGACACUGGCAUCUUGGACACAGAAGCACCUGCUGUCUUGACAAUCCUUGUGGACAUUUCAUCUUUAAGUUUUGUAAUUUGUGAACAAUACAGAUAAUAACUAUGUGGCCGUCUCCUAGUACCAAACUGGCCGUAGAUGCACAGGAGUAACCUUGGAUAUAUGCUUGCUCAAUAAAGAUGUAGGGAGUAUG